rnacentral:rRNA from 1 species
UACGAAGGGGGCUAGCGUUGCUCGGAAUCACUGGGCGUAAAGGCUCGUAGGCGGCCAACUAAGUCAGACGUGAAAUCCCCCGGCUUAACCUGGGAACUGCGUCUGAUACUGGACGGCUUGAGUAUGGGAGAGGGAUGUAGAAUUCCAGGUGUAGCGGUGAAAUGCGUAGAUAUCAAGAGGAACACCUGCGGCGAAGGCGGGUUGCUGGGCCGACACUGACGCUGAGGCGCGAAAGCUAGGGGAGCGAACGGG